rnacentral:rRNA from 1 species
GCAAAAACUGAAAAAGAUGCGUCAUUAGAACUGGUAACUCAUUACUGCGUUAAUCCCGAACCCGGACACGGAGAUUGUCUUUCGGGGCCCAGUGCGGUAACGCAAACCAGCUCGGAGACGCCGAUUCGAGCCCCGGGAAGAGUUUUCUUUUCUCUGUAAGGAGAUCGAGUCCCUGGAAUGGGUUCGCCCCGAGAUAGGGAUGGUGGCUCCGUAGAGCAGUGCGGUUCUUGCGCUGUCCGGUGCGCUCGCGUCGGCCCUUGAAAAUCCGAGUGAGGGAGUGUGAUUUUCGUGCCGGACCGUACCCACAUCCGCAGCAGGUCUCCAAGGUGAACAGCCUCUAGU